rnacentral:rRNA from 1 species
UACGGAGGGAGCUAGCGUUGUUCGGAAAUACUGGGCGUAAAGGGUGCGUAGGCGGCGGGGCAAGUCUGAUGUGAAAUCCCGGGGCUCAACCCCGGAACUGCAUUGGAUACUGCCUUGCUUGAGUACUGGAGAGGGAACUGGAAUUUACGGUGUAGCAGUGAAAUGCGUAGAGAUCGUAAGGAAGGCCAGUGGCGAAGGCGAGUUCCUGGACAGUUACUGACGCUGAGGCACGAAGGCCAGGGGAGCAAACGGG